rnacentral:rRNA from 1 species
AACGAACGCUGGCGGCAUGCCUAACACAUGCAAGUCGAACGAAGGCUUCGGCCUUAGUGGCGCACGGGUGCGUAACGCGUGGGAAUCUGCCCUUUGGUUCGGAAUAACAGCUGGAAACGGCUGCUAAUACCGGAUGAUGACGAAAGUCCAAAGAUUUAUUGCCAGAGGAUGAGCCCGCGUUGGAUUAGGUAGUUGGUGGGGUAAAGGCCUACCAAGCCGACGAUCCAUAGCUGGUCUGAGAGGAUGAUCAGCCACACUGGGACUGAGACACGGCCCAGACUCCUACGGGAGGCAGCAGUGGGGAAUAUUGGACAAUGGGCGCAAGCCUGAUCCAGCAAUGCCGCGUGAGUGAUGAAGGCCCUAGGGUUGUAAAGCUCUUUUACCCGGGAAGAUAAUGACUGUACCGGGAGAAUAAGCCCCGGCUAACUCCGU